UACAGAGGGGGCAAGCGUUGUUCGGAAUUACUGGGCGUAAAGGGCGCGUAGGCGGCCGCCUAAGUCAGACGUGAAAUCCCUCGGCCCAACCGGGGAACUGCGUCUGAUACUGGGUGGCUUGAAUUCGGGAGAGGGAUGCGGAAUUCCAGGUGUAGCGGUGAAAUGCGUAGAUAUCUGGAGGAACACCGGUGGCGAAGGCGGCAUCCUGGACUGGUCCUGACACUCAGGAGCGAAAGCGUGGGGAGCGAUCCGG
rnacentral:rRNA from 1 species